rnacentral:rRNA from 3 species
CGGGAUUGUGGUUAGUUUCCUUUAUUGGAAGGUAACCACGAGAACCUGUCUAAACCUUAUCAUUUAGAGGAAGGUGAAGUCGUAACAAGGUUUCCGUAGGUGAACCUGCGGAAGGAUCA